rnacentral:lncRNA from 1 species
AGGCUGGAGUGCAGUGGUGUGAUCUCGGCUCACUGCAAGCUCUGCCUCCCGGGUUCAUGCCAUUCUCCCACCUCAGCCUCCCGAGUAGCUGGGACUACAGACACAAACCCCCACGCCUGGCUGAUUUUUGUAUUUUUAGUAGAGAUGGGGUUUCACCAUGUUGGUCAGGCUGGUCUCGAACUCCUCGUGAUCCGCCCGCCUUGGCCUCCCAAAGUGCUGGGAUUACAGGUGUGAGCCACAGCACCCGGC